CUUUAUAAAAUCCCAGGAAGUCAUUGAUAUAUAGAAGAAUCAUUUCCUUCUGGCCUCUUGUCUAACUUCAUUUAAUUUGUAAGGAGAGAUCUUGUCCAUGCAUCUUUCUGUGUGCAAUUUCAGGUAUCUCCCUGCAUGAAGCAGUUUUACACACAACCAAGUGUACAGCAGUACAGUUUUAAUAGAACUGGCUUCACUUGGGAGCAGACAAAUAGACUUGGGUCUUCUUCUGGCAGAGGCACAAAACACUAAGCUGUGAUGCUGAAUUUCUCAUUUGGCCUCAUUUCUUGUUUGGUUUGCCAAUGUGGGAGUUAAUUGUAUAAACACAGAAAUAUGGGGGAUAGGGAGAAAUACGUUCUGUGCUCUCCUGUUUGUAUAGCUCUGCUUAUCACUAGUUUUGUUACUAUAUUGCUUACAGCAGUUUAAAUGGCAAGGGUGGUGAGGAACAGGUGGCGAAGAGAAGUUAAUGUGAGAGGACAUGGAGAAAUCAUGUUCCUUGAUAGGAAAUUAUUCCUCCUAUCCCAUACAAAUGGGACUCUAUAACAGUAUCCUCUCUCUACACCAGAAGAUACGAUGGCAUUGAGUUCAAGUGUUAAACAAGUAUAUGUCCUGUUUCAGCUAAUUCUGGUAUCUGAGAUUCUAGGUGGCAGUCAUUCUUGAUAUUUAAGUGCUCAGACAUUGCAGCGAUGAGCUAGGCCUUGUUAGAAACCCAGGUUACUAACCUGGAGAGAGGAAUUUUGCACAAAAGGAACAUAUAAAGAUAAAACAGAGGAGACAAGAACUAAUAGCUGGUUAAGUUAUCCCAGGAGUUGGGAAAGAGAAACCUGCUGGGCAGGUAUUCCCUAACAGUAUAAUUUUGAGUUUACUAGCCUGUCUUCUCCUCAAUGUAUCCUCUAUUUGUUCGAAGAAAAUCAUCUGCUCCUCUCAGUUAUUUCAAAGUAAAGUCACAAGAAUAGCUUGUUCCCACUCUAUUCCAAAUAUAGCUGUUGACAGCAAUUGCUGAGAUAAGGGGGAAGGAAAAGGAACUACCAAGGAAGAGGAAAGGCAUGAGGGGGAAGAGAGAAAGGAGAGCUGAAGAAGUUGGACAAUAGAGAGUAGAGAGACAUGAAUGAGAUGGGAGGUGGAAGAACAAGGACAAUACAUUGCAGCAAAGAAAACAAAACAAAGAAAUAAACUCCUGCAAAUCAGGUGGAAGCAGACCAAACACAGAACAAAAAGGACCAUGCUCACCCUAAGCAGAAGUUUUAGACUUAAAAACUAACCAAACCUUAAAUGAAAUCAUGUCCAAUUAAGACUUUUACUCAGAUUUCUAGGGGUUAUAGCAUCAAAAAACUUGCACUAAUUGCUUGAAGAUGUAGCCCUACAAAUUUUGAAGCAAAACAUGAUGCUUAUUUUAAUCUUCUGUGGGAUUUUAAAAAGUAAUAAUUCUGCUCCAAGAAAAUUUGUUGGCAGUUUGUGACAGAAAGUCAUCCAUUGGGUAACUUUGCUGAAGAGGAACCUGAACAGCCUUCUCCUCAGAAGUUCACAGUCAGGAUGGUCUUCUGGUGAGACUGGAGCACGUAGACAUGUCCUCAGGAGCAGAAAAUAAAUCAUGAUAAAAACUAAGGAAAAGCCAGAAUCACACUCAGACUGACUUACCCAGCACAAAGAGCUGAGGGUUUUCAAGGCUCAAGGCAGAUUGGUUUAAGACCAAAGCACAGGGAAAUAAGACAUAAAUUUAAACAGGUUCUGAGAGUGGUACAUAGACAGGGCAAAGGCAAAUGAGUGCUUGGCAAUCUAGAAAUACUGUGAAUGCUCCAGCUUCCCUGGAGGGGUGGGAAGCUUCUGAGAAACACUCCACACAGCUCUCCUGCUUCUCUAAAGACUGCCUGAAAAACGGUGCCAGAGUUCUGCUUUCUCUUCUGGUGGGCUGAAAAGAGAUGCCAUACUUGGCUUUACUGCUCAGCUGAGGGUGAAAAGCCAUAUCCAGUACUAUAAAAGUGAGUAUGUCCAGAAAACCUUCUGACAAGCUUUCAAAGUACUCAAACACUAGGUAGUGGGACUGACAGGAGAACUGAAAUUGUCACACUUUCUAUUUUAUUUCUGUCUUUCAAGCAAGAAGGCCACCUGCAUUGUUAAGGGAUGUGCUCGAUUAGUGUCUCUUUGGACUAAAGGCCCAGGACAGCCAUGGGGCAACGUGGUAUUUGCACAAAGCAGAGAAGAUACAUUAGAGCAGGAAAUACAAUGAUAUGCUCCUGUCUAGCUUGGGCUUCAAGGUGACCAGAGGAGUAGUAAACCUGGAGACUCACUAAUGUCAGUGAAAGAAAAGUGGAAGAACUGAAAAAGCCUUUCUCAGCUUGGAUGUGAGAUGUUGCAUGGAUAAGGAGAGGCCCGGGGGACAGGCACCUGGGGACAGCAUUUCGGACCCAAGGUGCAGACCACUGAAAAAGGACUUUGCACGCUACAAACCAUAUGUGAGAGCUGCUUUCCAAAAGGAGGGAAUAAACAACCACGAGACGAAAUAUUCCUAAGUAACGGAUUAGUGACAUGAGCAUAGCAUGGGAUACAGCUCUCAGAAAUCAUUACAUCUGACACCCUCAUCAGCAAGAAGAUGUAGGGGCUGCAAGGAACAGCGUAUGAAAGAUUGGCUUCUCCUGGGAAGGGAGGCACAAGGGAGAUUAUUUUUAGUACUUGGGGAGGGGUAAAAAGAAGAAAAAGCUAGAAUUUAACAACUCUUUAGCUGGAUACCCUCCGAGCAUAGGGACAGGAAAGCAAAAGGGAGUG